UACAGAGGUCUCAAGCGUUGUUCGGAUUCAUUGGGCGUAAAGGGUGCGUAGGUGGCGUGGUAAGUCGGGUGUGAAGUUUCGGAGCUUAACUCCGAAACUGCAUUCGAUACUGCUGUGCUUGAGGACUGGAGAGGAGACUGGAAUUUACGGUGUAGCAGUGAAAUGCGUAGAGAUCGUAAGGAAGACCAGUGGCGAAGGCGGGUCUCUGGACAGUUCCUGACACUGAGGCACGAAGGCCAGGGGAGCAAACGGG
rnacentral:rRNA from 1 species